AGAUUGAACGCUGGCGGCGUGCUUAACACAUGCAAGUCGAGCGGCAGCGCGGUAGCAAUACUGGCGGCGAGCGGCGGACGGGUGAGUAACGCUUGGGAAUCUGCCUUUUAGUGGGGGACAACCCGGGGAAACUCGGGCUAAUACCGCAUACGCUCUACGGAGGAAAGCCGGGGACCGCAAGGCCUGGCGCUAAAUAGAUGAGCCCAAGUCGGAUUAGCUAGUUGGUAGGUAACGGCCUACCAAGGCGACAAUCCGUAGCUGGUCUGAGAGGACGACCAGCCACACCGGAACUGAGACACGGUCCGGACUCCUACGGGAGGCAGCAGUGGGGAAUAUGGACAAUGGGGGAAACCCUGAUCAGCGACGCCGCGUGGGUGAAGAAGGCCUGCGGUUGUAAAGCCUUUCGGUGGGAGAAAAGUUGCGACCUAACACGUCGCGACCUUGACGUAACCCAUUAAAGAAGACACCGGCGUAACUCUGUGCCAGCAGCCGCGGU
rnacentral:rRNA from 1 species